CAAGUCGAGCGAACGGACGAGAAGCUUGCUUUUCUGAUGUUAGCGGCGGACGGGUGAGCAACACGUGGAUAACCUACCUAUAAGACUGGGAUAACUUCGGGAAACCGGAGCUAAUACCGGAUAAUAUUUUGAACCGCAUGGUUCAAAAGUGAAAGACGGUCUUGCUGUCACUUAUAGAUGGAUCCGCGCUGCAUUAGCUAGUUGGUAAGGUAACGGCUUACCAAGGCAACGAUGCAUAGCCGACCUGAGAGGGUGAUCGGCCACACUGGAACUGAGACACGGUCCAGACUCCUACGGGAGGCAGCAGUAGGGAAUCUUCCGCAAUGGGCGAAAGCCUGACGGAGCAACGCCGCGUGAGUGAUGAAGGUCUUCGGAUCGUAAAACUCUGUUAUUAGGGAAGAACAUAUGUGUAAGUAACUGUGCACAUCUUGACGGUACCUAAUCAGAAAGCCACGGCUAACUACGUGCCAGCAGCCGCGGUAAUACGUAGGUGGCAAGCGUUAUCCGAAAUUAUUGGGCGUAAAGCGCGCGUAGGCGGUUUUUUAAGUCUGAUGUGAAAGCCCACGGCUCAACCGUGGAGGGUCAUUGGAAACUGGAAAACUUGAGUGCAGAAGAGGAAAGUGGAAUUCCAUGUGUAGCGGUGAAAUGCGCAGAGAUAUGGAGGAACACCAGUGGCGAAGGCGACUUUCUGGUCUGUAACUGA
rnacentral:rRNA from 1 species